rnacentral:rRNA from 1 species
AUUGAACGCUGGCGGCAUGCUUUACACAUGCAAGUCGAACGGUAACAGGCCGCAAGGUGCUGACGAGUGGCGAACGGGUGAGUAAUGCAUCGGAACGUGCCCAGUCGUGGGGGAUAACGCAGCGAAAGCUGCGCUAAUACCGCAUACGAUCUAUGGAUGAAAGCGGGGGACCGUAAGGCCUCGCGCGAUUGGAGCGGCCGAUGUCAGAUUAGGUAGUUGGUGGGGUAAAGGCUCACCAAGCCAACGAUCUGUAGCUGGUCUGAGAGGACGACCAGCCACACUGGGGCUGCGACCCGGCCCAGACUCCUACGGGAGGCAGCAGUGGGGAAGUUUGGACAAUGGGCGCAAGCCUGAUCAAGCAAUGCGGCGUGCAGGAAGAAGGCGUUCGGGUUGUAAACUGCUUUUGUACGGAACGAAACGGGCCUGGUUAGUACCUGGGGCUAAUGACGGUACCGUAAGAAUAAGCACCGGCUAACUACGUGCCAGCAGCCGCCGUAAGAC